UACGUAGGGUGCGAGCGUUGUCCGGAAUUAUUGGGCGUAAAGAGCUCGUAGGCGGUUUGUUGCGUCGGCCGUGAAAACCUGCAGCUUAACUGUGGGCCUGCGGCCGAUACGGGCAGACUUGAGUUCGGUAGGGGAGACUGGAAUUCCUGGUGUAGCGGUGAAAUGCGUAGAUAUUGGGAGGAACACCAGUGGCGAAGGCGGCUCACUGGACUGGUACUGACGCUGAGGCGCGAAAGCGUGGGGAGCGAACAGG
rnacentral:rRNA from 1 species